rnacentral:rRNA from 1 species
CACGUAGUUGGCCGGCGCUUCUUCUGCAGGUACCGUCACUCUCGCUUCGUCCCUGCUGAAAGAGGUUUACAACCCGAAGGCCGUCAUCCCUCACGCGGCGUCGCUGCAUCAGGCUUCCGCCCAUUGUGCAAUAUUCCCCACUGCUGCCUCCCGUAGGAGUCUGGGCCGUGUCUCAGUCCCAGUGUGGCCGGUCGCCCUCUCAGGCCGGCUACCCGUCGUCGCCUUGGUAGGCCAUUACCCCACCAACAAGCUGAUAGGCCGCGAGUCCAUCCCCAGCCGAAAAAUCUUUCCACACACACAUCAUGCAAUGGUGUGUCGUAUUCGGUAUUAGCCCCCGUUUCGAGGGUUAUCCCAAAGCUGAGGGCAGGUUACUCACGUGUUACUCACCCGUUCGCCGCUCGAGUACCCCGAAGGGCCUUUCCGCUCGACUUGCAUGUGUUAAGCACGCCGCCAGCGUUCGUCCUGACGCCAGGACUCGAAACUCU